rnacentral:rRNA from 1 species
AUGGGUUUUCGUGAUAUGAGGGCCUUUAAUCAAGCUUUGUUGGCCAAGCAGGCUUAGCGUCUCCUGGACUGCCCGGACAGCUUGUGUGCUUGUUUGUUGAAGGCUAAAUACUACCCAAGGGGGAAUUUAUUGGACACGGUAUUCUCUGCUAGUUCUUCGACGGUGUGGAAAGGUAUUAUUCACGGACUUGAUCUUGUGAAGAAAGGCAUUAUAUGGUGAGUAGGUAAUGGUACUCUAAUUAAAACAUGGAGAGAUGCUUGGAUCCCUAAAGGACAUAAUUUUCGGCCAGUAACUCCCAAGGGGAAUUGUCGUUACAAUUGGGUGGCUGACUUCUUGGAUGAACAUGGUGCAUGGAAUGUGCAGCGGCUCAGGGAACACUUUUGGGACUUGGAUGUGCGGGAGAUUUUGAAGAUUCGCACAUCUCCUAGGAAUGAGCAGGAUUUCAUUGCGUGGUUCCCUGAAAAAAGUAGACAGUUUACUGUCCGUAGUGCUUACCGUCUCGCAACGGAUGUUCAAUAUUCGGUACAUUUGAGUUCUUCCAGUGGCAAGCCCUCCGGACGAAGGCCUAUCUGGCAGCGUAUUUGGAGUUCCCAAGUUCCGUUGAAAAUGAAGAUUAUGGCUUGGAAGGUUGUUUCGGGUGCCCUUGCUACAAAUGAGUGCAAGAAAUAUAGACACAUCUCAAUUAGAGAUGGAUGUCCAUUAUGUGGGAGAGAGAAGGAGGCGAGCUUCCAUGCUCUUGUAUCAUGUGAUCAUGCGAGCAGAAUUUGGACACACAUGAGGCUGGUAUGGCGUCUUCCUAGCAAUGAUGUCUUACAUGACACAUGACAUGACUGGUUGUUAAAUAUUCUUGCAAACUGCGAUGAUCAAACGAGAGAUUGCACGAUCAUGCUGAUGGUAAAGAGGUUCCCCCGUUUUCGGCGACAUCAGACUACCUCUAGAGUUAUAUGA